rnacentral:rRNA from 1 species
AUUGAACGCUGGCGGCAUGCUUUACACGUGCAAGUCGAACGGUAACAGGCCGCAAGGUGCUGACGAGUGGCGAACGGGUGAGUAAUGCAUCGGAACGUGCCCAGUCGUGGGGGAUAACGCAGCGAAAGCUGUGCUAAUACCGCAUACGAUCUAUGGAUGAAAGCGGGGGACCGUAAGGCCUCGCGCGAUUGGAGCGGCCGAUGUCAGAUUAGGUAGUUGGUGGGGUAAAGGCCUACCAAGCCGACGAUCUGUAGCUGGUCUGAGAGGACGACCAGCCACACUGGGAGCGAGGUACGGCCCACACUCCGUAGGGAGGCAGCAGUGGGGAAGUUUGGACCAUGGGCGCAAGACUGCACCAGCAAUGCCGCGUGCAGGAAGCAGGCCUGCGGGUUGUAAACUGCUUUUGUACGGAACGAAACGGCCUGGGUUAAUACCCUGGGUUAAUGACGGUACCGUAAGAAUCAGCACCGGCUAACUACGUGCCAGCCGCCGCCGUAACAC